rnacentral:rRNA from 1 species
UACGAAGGGGGCUAGCGUUGUUCGGAAUCACUGGGCGUAAAGCGUACGUAGGCGGAUCGUUAAGUCAGGGGUGAAAGCCUGGAGCUCAACUCCAGAACUGCCUUUGAUACUGGCGAUCUUGAGACCGGGAGAGGUGAGUGGAACUGCUAGUAUAGAGGUGAAAUUCGUAGAUAUUAGCAAGAACACCAGUGGCGAAGGCGGCUCACUGGCCCGGUACUGACGCUGAGGUACGAAAGCGUGGGGAGCAAACAGG